CCAAACCUUUCUUCUGUCCUAUUCUUUUUUUCCAUCCCGCGUACAUUAAGGGAAAAGCAAGAGAGAGAAAAUUGUGACAUAUCCCUAAAACACCAAUAAAUCGAGCUUGUAGGCCUGAAAGAGCGGAACCUUUGGGAAAUUCCCCCCGUCGUCCGCUGCACGAAAAAACGUCUCACACAGGCGCCAUCUUGCGCAGCCCCUCCCCCCGCAUUUUAAUAUGUGAUCGCUCAGCGGCUCUGGCGUUUAGUGGGCAGCAGGGAAAGCACCGUCCAUUACAACAGCAACCUUUUCUCUAAACUUGCUUCUCAGCGGGAGAAAUACAAGGUGUGGCGUGUGAACUGGCUGAAAAGCGGGAGGCCACAGACCACGGGCGUCGCUACACCCUUUCCACCGCGGCCCGUGCCCCUGGGUCCAAGUGCCCCGGUGAAAUGGUCAUGACCCGGUCGUUUUUGUAACGUAAGAGGACGCGGUCUUCUGCCACAGCAUUUAAAAGGUUGAUGAGAGGACAAAGAGGGACGAUCCUGCACACCAGAAGAGAGCUUGGGAACAGCAGUGAACUCGUGUUCUCUCGGUCCCGCUGAGCAGCAGCUCGGUCCGGGUCUUGGUUUCUUGCCACAAUGAACAAUAUCAGAGUGAAAUACAGUCGUUUGUUCCCUUUGAUAAACGCCGACGGGCAACUUUUAUAAAGUGCAGCAUGGAAACGGUGCUUGGGUCUGCAGCCGGACCGGGACGGGUCCAGCCAGCACGGGGACGUGAGGGCUCGUUUUAAACAGUCUCAGUGAAGGUUCAAGGAUGCAGGGAAGCGUGAAGGUUCAAGGAUGCAGGGAAGCGUGAAGGUUCAAGGAUGCAGGGAAGCGUGAAGGUUCAAGGAUGCAGGGAAGCGCUGGACAAUAAAGCAGUAACACAAUUAUCACAGGGACAUUUUCCUCAAUAACAAAAUAAAAUGUUCAGUAAAUAUGAAAUAAAUGUUGGAUCUUA